CGCGGUAAUUCCAGCUCCAAUAGCGUAUAUUAAAGUUGUUGCAGUUAAAAAGCUCGUAGUUGAAUUUCGGGAUCAAAUUGUCGGUCGUGCCUCGGUACGUACUGGCAUUAUUGGUUCCUCCCUUCUGAAGAACCGCGAUGUCAUUAAUUUGGUGUCGCGGGGAAUCAGGACUGUUACUUUGAAAAAAUUAGAGUGUUUAAAGCAGGCUCGCGCUUGAAUACAUUAGCAUGGAAUAAUGAAAUAGGACGUUUGAUUCUAUUUUGUUGGUUUCUAGGAUCGACGUAAUGAUUAAUAGGGAUAGUUGGGGGCAUUAGUAUUCAAUUGUCAGAGGUGAAAUUCUUGGAUUUAUUGAAGACUAACUACUGCGAAAGCAUUUGCCAAGGAUGUUUUCAUUAAUCAAGAACGAAAGUUAGGGGAUCGAAGACGAUCAGAUACCGUCGUAGUCUUAACCAU
rnacentral:rRNA from 1 species